rnacentral:rRNA from 1 species
UACGUAGGGUGCAAGCGUUAAUCGGAAUUACUGGGCGUAAAGCGUGCGCAGGCGGUUUUGUAAGUCUGUCGUGAAAUCCCCGGGCUCAACCUGGGAAUUGCGAUGGAGACUGCAAGGCUAGAAUCUGGCAGAGGGGGGGUAGAAUUCCACGUGUAGCAGUGAAAUGCGUAGAGAUGUGGAGGAACACCGAUGGCGAAGGCAGCCCCCUGGGUCAAGAUUGACGCUCAUGCACGAAAGCGUGGGGAGCAAACGAGGAUUAGAGUACCCGAGAUAGCC